rnacentral:rRNA from 1 species
GAUGAACGCUGGCGGCGUGCCUAACACAUGCAAGUCGAACGAUGAAACCGCCCUCGGGCGGACAUGAAGUGGCGAACGGGUGAGUAACACGUGACCAACCUGCCCCUUGCUCCGGGACAACCUUGGGAAACCGAGGCUAAUACCGGAUACUCCUCGCCCCCCUCCUGGGGGGCCCGGGAAAGCCCAGACGGCAAGGGAUGGGGUCGCGGCCCAUUAGGUAGUAGGCGGGGUAACGGCCCACCUAGCCCGCGAUGGGUAGCCGGGUUGAGAGACCGACCGGCCACAUUGGGACUGAGAUACGGCCCAGACUCCUACGGGAGGCAGCAGUGGGGAAUUUUGCGCAAUGGGGGAAACCCUGACGCAGCAACGCCGCGUGCGGGACGACGGCCUUCGGGUUGUAAACCGCUUUCAGCAGGGAAGAAAUUCGACGGUAC